UACGAAGGGGGCUAGCGUUGUUCGGAUUUACUGGGCGUAAAGCGCACGUAGGCGGAUUGGUCAGUUAGGGGUGAAAUCCUGGAGCUCAACUCCAGAACUGCCUUUGAUACUGAGGAGCUCGAGUCCGGAAGAGGUGAGUGGAACUGCGAGUGUAGAGGUGAAAUUCGUAGAUAUUCGCAAGAACACCAGUGGCGAAGGCGGCUCACUGGUCCGGUACUGACGCUGAGGUGCGAAAGCGUGGGGAGCAAACAGG
rnacentral:rRNA from 1 species